CUAUAUACCGCCGUCGUCAGCUCACCUUGUGAAAGGAAAAAAGUAAGCAAAAAGAAUUAAAUUCCAAACGUCAGGUCGAGGUGUAGCGAAUGAAGUGGAAAGAAAUGGGCUACAUU
rnacentral:rRNA from 1 species